rnacentral:rRNA from 1 species
AUUGAACGCUGGCGGCAGGCCUAACACAUGCAAGUCGAACGGUAGCACAGAGAGCUUGCUCUCGGGUGACGAGUGGCGGACGGGUGAGUAAUGUCUGGGAAACUGCCCGAUGGAGGGGGAUAACUACUGGAAACGGUAGCUAAUACCGCAUAAUGUCGCAAGACCAAAGAGGGGGACAUUCGGGCCUCUUGCCAUCGGAUGUGCCCAGAUGGGAUUAGCUAGUUGGUGAGGUAAUGGCUCACCAAGGCGACGAUCCCUAGCUGGUCUGAGAGGAUGACCAGCCACACUGGAACUGAGACACGGUCCAGACUCCUACGGGAGGCAGCAGUGGGGAAUAUUGCACAAUGGGCGCAAGCCUGAUGCAGCCAUGCCGCGUGUGUGAAGAAGGCCUUCGGGUUGUAAAGCACUUUCAGCGGGGAGGAAGGCAAUACGGUUAAUAACCGUGUUGAUUGACGUUACCCGCAUAAGAAGCACCGGCUAACUCCGUG